ACACCGAACGCCACCCACCUCGGCCCCGCGACCCCGCUCACAGUGCUACGAUGGCAUGCUGUACUCACCAACUGGAAGCUCCACUCAAAGUGUGGACAGUGAUGUGGCAGAGGAAGAGGAAAGGGAAGAGCUGAUGGGAGGCGCUCUGGGCCGCACGUUCAGCUUCCUGCGCAAGAUGUCCAUCCGCAGAGGCAAG